UUUGCCUUUGGGUGGGGAAUACCAACCGGAAACGGUUGUUAAUACCGCAUAAUGCAGCGGCUCGACAUCGAGACAGUUGUUAAAGCGGGGGAUUGGAGCAAUCCGACCUCGCGCCUGAAGAGAAGCCUGCGGCAGAUUAGCUAGUUGGUAAGGUAAUGGCUUACCAAGGCGACGAUCUGUAACCGGCCUGAGAGGGCGGUCGGUCACACUGACACUGACAUACGGGUCAG
rnacentral:rRNA from 1 species